UACGGGGGGGGCAAGCGUUGUUCGGAAUUACUGGGCGUAAAGGGCGCGUAGGCGGGUGGACAAGUCUCUCGUGAAAGCCCAAGGCUCAACCGUGGAAUUGCGGGAGAUACUGUCUGUCUUGAGUCCGGGAGGGGAGGGUGGAAUUCCCAGUGUAGCGGUGAAAUGCGUAGAUAUUGGGAGGAACACCGGUGGCGAAGGCGGCUCUCUGGACCGGUACUGACGAUGAGGCGCGAAAGCUAGGGGAGCAAACGGG
rnacentral:rRNA from 1 species